GUGGGGAAUCUUGCGCAAUGGGCGAAAGCCUGACGCAGCCAUGCCGCGUGAAUGAUGAAGGUCUUAGGAUUGUAAAAUUCUUUCACCGGGGACGAUAAUGACGGUACCCGGAGAAGAAGCUCCGACUAACUUCGUGCCAGCAGCCGCGGUAAUACGAAGGGGGCUAGCGUUGCUCGGAAUUACUGGGCGUAAAGGGCGCGUAGGCGGACAGCUUAGUCAGAGGUGAAAGCCCAGGGCUCAACCUUGGAAUUGCCUUUGAUACUGGCUGUCUUGAGUUUGGGAGAGGUGAGUGGAACUCCGAGUGUAGAGGUGAAAUUCGUAGAUAUUCGGAAGAACACCAGUGGCGAAGGCGACUCACUGGCCCAAUACUGACGCUGAGGCGCGAAAGCGUGGGGAGCAAACAGGAUUAGAUACCCGAGUAGUCC
rnacentral:rRNA from 1 species